rnacentral:misc_RNA from 1 species
GAAAUGCGAUAAGUAGUGUGAAUUGCAGAAUUCAGUGAAUCAUCGAAUCUUUGAACGCACAUUGCGCCCCUUGGUAUUCCAUGGGGCAUGCCUGUUCGAGCGUCAUUUGUACCCUCAAGCUCUGCUUGGUGUUGGGUGUUUGUCCCCGUCUCCGCGCGUGGACUCGCCCCAAAGUGAUUGGCAGCCGGCGUACUGGUCCCGGAGCGCAGCAGAAACGCGAACUCGUGAGCCCGUCCGGGCGGCUCCCAGAAGCUACACCCACCCAGUUUGACCUCGGAUCAGGUAGGGAUACCCGCUGAACUUAAGC